rnacentral:rRNA from 1 species
UACGUAGGCGGUUAUCCAAGUCAGAGGUGAAAGCCUGGAGCUCAACUCCAGAACUGCCUUUGAAACUAGGUAGCUAGAAUCACGGAGAGGUUAGUGGAAUUCCGAGUGUAGAGGUGAAAUUCGUAGAUAUUCGGAAGAACACCAGUGGCGAAGGCGACUAACUGGACGUGUAUUGACGCUGAGGUACGAAAGCGUGGGGAGCAAACAGGAUUAGAUACCCUGGUAGUCCACGCCGUAAACGAUGAUAACUAGUUGUUCGGGCUCUUAGAGCUUGAGUGACGCAGCUAACGCAUUAAGUUAUCCGCCUGGGGAGUACGGUCGCAAGAUUAAA